rnacentral:rRNA from 1 species
GAUGAACGCUAGCUACAGGCUUAACACAUGCAAGUCGAGGGGAAACGACAUCGAAAGCUUGCUUUUGAUGGGCGUCGACCGGCGCACGGGUGAGUAACGCGUAUCCAACCUGCCCAUCACUUGGGAAUAACCUUGCGAAAGUAAGACUAAUACCCAAUGACAUCCCACGAAGACAUCUGAAUGGGAUCAAAGAUUUAUCGGUGAUGGAUGGGGAUGCGUCUGAUUAGCUUGUUGGCGGGGUAACGGCCCACCAAGGCAACGAUCAGUAGGGGUUCUGAGAGGAAGGUCCACCACAUUGGAACUGCGACACGGUCCACACUCCUACGGGACGCAGCAGUGAGGAAUAUUGGUCAAUGGGCGAGAGCCUGAACCAGCCAAGUAGCGUGCAGGAUGACGGCCCUAUGGGUUGUAAACUGCUUUUAUAAGGGAAUAAAGUGCGUCUCGUGAGACUUUUUGCCUGUACCUUAUGAAUAAGGACCGGCUAAUUCCGUG